rnacentral:misc_RNA from 1 species
AGCUAACAACAAAAAUCAAAAGAGAAGAAAUACUAGGGAUAAACAACAUCAUAAUGUUGAAGACUUUACUUGCUAUAUAGGAUUAUAAGUUAUCCAAUCAAGGGACAAAAUACUCUACAUUUUUUUAAAACUAUGCAAAGGGGCAGAAAAGGGGAAAAUGUAGAUGGGUUCUGUGAUGAAAAUAGAAUCUCCAUGCAUCGUUGCCAAAAUUAUUAGUCAUCUGAAAGUUCAUGGAGAAUUUGGUGGCGUCUUCAAAGAGACUUCUAUCUUAUUUUUAUGUUCCAUCACAGCAGCUCGAAACUCCUCAAUAAUAGAGGCAUCCUUGAACUUCAAAGCAAUUGUUGAGAGUCCAUCUUUCCCAUCAUCAGCACUAUUCAUACAAGCAAAGGUGACACCUUUUUUAUCCAUGCUUGCGAGCUUCAUUUCAGGAUAAAGGUUGGCAUUCAAAAUCAACCUGUAAUUUCCUCUGGUUCUCAUAACAAGUCUAGCUUUUCCAGUUCCACUUGAAAUAUUGAGCUUCAGCUCUCCUUUUCCACGCUCCUUCCACCCUCCAUUAAGAUAUUCA